rnacentral:misc_RNA from 1 species
GAAAUGCGAUAAGUAAUGCGAAUUGCAGAAUUCAGUGAGUCAUCGAAUCUUUGAACGCACAUUGCGCCCCGUGGUAUUCCGCGGGGCAUGCCUGUCCGAGCGUCAUUUCAACCCUCAAGCCCUGCUUGGUGUUGGGCCCUGCCCACUGCGGCCGGCCCUAAAAUCAGUUAGCGGCGCCGUUGGCCCUGAGCGUAGUAAUGCUCUCGCUCCAGGGUCCCGCGGUGGCUCGCCAGAACCGACUCCAACGGUUGACCUCGGAUCAGGUAGGGAUACCCGCUGAACUUAA